ACCUCUGUGACCUCAGGUACACGCCUCUCAUCCGCCCUGUAACAGGAUGAUAGUUCCACGUCUGCCUCCCAGUUGUCUAUUGGGAGAACUGGAUGAGUUACUAGUAGGGGUGAAAUGCUGAGGUCAGGGCCAGGCGCACAGUAAGAGCUCAGUAAGUGGAACGAUAUUGUUACCACCACCACCUCCAUCAUCACCAUCCACAACUUAGUCCUGGGGCCUCCCAGCCCCACAGCAGAGGGAAGAGGGCUCAGGAAUGGUGGAGACCUGCCCAUAUCUCCCUCCUCCCACCUCCUGCCGGUUCUGGAGUCCCUCAGAGGUUUGAGGCCUUGCUUACAGGUCCAUGGGAUUUUGGUGGGUCCAAGGUUGCAGAGCUGGGAGACCAGCCUGAAGGGCCAUUUAUCUAGAGGGGAGCUGAAUUCUCAGCGUGAACCCCAGCUCUACCACUCACCCUCCAGGUGGCUCUCGGAAGUUGCUUAACUUCCAUGUGCCUCAGUUUCCUCAACCAUGAUAGGGGGUUAAUAAUAUUUCAUAGGUUAUCAGGAGGAGAAGAUGAAUUUCAUGCAUUUGUAAGCCCUUCAUAAGCCCUAGGGGACUUCUCAGGUGGCUCAGUGGUAGGGAAUCCGCCUGCCAAUGCUGGAGAUGCAGAUUCGAUCCCUGCGUCGGGAAGAUCCUCUGGAUGAAGAAAUGGCAACCCACUCCAGUAUUCUUGCCUGGGAAAUCCCAUGGACAGAGGAGGCUGGCAGGUUACAGCCCAUAGGAUCUCAGAAUUGGACACGACUUAGUGACUGAGCACACACGCACACGUCAGCCCUAGAGCACUGCAUGGAAGUCAGUCAAUGGUUAACAGUGAGACUGAUGGAGGAGGGUAAAGAGGGAGAUGAACGUGUCAAAGAAAGGCAUGUGACCUCAGGGUGCUGUGUCAAGUGUGGAGGACUUGGGUCCAAGUCCUGGCCUUACUGCUUUGUAAGACUGCCUCGGGCAGGUCACUUUGCCUCUCUGAGCCGUAGUUUGCUCAUCUGUAAAAUGGGACCAUUGAUAAUAGCAGUCGUUUUUUGCACUUACAUGCCGUUUAACCCUGUGGGUAAGUAUUAUGAUCAACUCUGCCUUGCAGAGAAUACUGGGGCUCAGAAAACUGAAACUGCCUGCCCCAGCCAAGCUGGGGAUCAAGUCCAGGCAGGCUGGCCUCUGUCGGGGUGUCAGACUGUCCCACCUCAGCCCCUGUCUUCCUGUGUCUCCAGGCCUUGGUACUGCCCAAUGGAGAGGACCAGAGACCCUCGAGUUUGAGUGGCUCAGGGAUAGGAGGACCUAGGAGGACACUCAGGAAGGAGCCCUGGGGACAAGCUCCUCCCUUGGCCAUAGCAGCAGAUAUCCCCAAGGCUCAGAGAGACCUAGUUGUCACUCAUUCAUUCAUGAAUGUCAGCUACCAGGCUGGAGAUCAGGGGUCUGAGUGGUGAACACAGAUCUGGAAGAGCUUCGGUAGUCAUGGCCCGAGACAGAAAACAGACAAAUAAGAUGAUCAUAAGUAAUGAUACAUUUCAGGAGAAAGUCAGCGAAAAUAGAGGAAGAGAGUGAUGAUGCUGGGACCUUCCUUUAGAUGGGGUGAUCAGGGAGGGCCUCCCUGACGAGGUGAUAUUGGAGCAAAAAGGGGAAGGAAUUGGUCAUGGGAAGAUCGGAAAGAAGGGUCCAGGGAGAAGGUAUAGCACAUGCAAAGGUCCUGAGGUGGGAAUCAGUGAAAUCAGUGUAAUGUAAGUGGAGGAAAGUGGUGGCGGGGAGAGAGGUACCUGAGGAAGAGGUCAGGGAACCAGGGCAGGGAGUGUGAAUUUUACUCAUUGUCCUGGUCAGGGAAACCAAGGCAGGAUGAGAAGAGACAUGCUCUAGGUCACACCUGGCUUCCUGGGAAAGUCCUACCCCUUCGCCAUCCUUUCCAGCCUCAACUUCCCCCACCACCCAGCGCUGUCACAGGGGUCCCCCACCCCUCUGCAGCCUAUGUCCUGAGGCUUAAGGCCCCACUUUCCCCCCUCGGGGUGUUUUCAGAUCCCUUUUGUUACCUGAACAAUAAGUAACCCAGGUAGUUAGUUAUAAACUCCGCAGGAACAAGGAGCUGGUUGAUAAUUUAUAGCAACAUCUCAAAUUUAAAUGGAAAGUAAAUAGCAUGCUGUUAGCAUUAAAGAAAACCCAAUCGGGGCGGGAGGCAAGCACUCCAGCUUCCUCGCAGCUUGGGGCACCUCGCUCUCUCCCCAGCCCCUUCUCCCAGCUGCAUGUCAGCCCCAGGCCCCUCCUGGCUCCUCUGCUCCACUCUGCUUCUCCAGGUCUCUCUCUCCAUCUCCUGAGACUCACCCCCCACCCCCGUCUCUUCCUUCUUGUCUCCCCUCUCUCCCUCCACCUCCAGGUCUCUGCUGGUCCCCAGGGAGCACUUUGACCCCUGCGUGCUGUGGAUCAAGCCUUCCUGUCCACCCAUCAUCCCGCUGGAGGGGCUACUAGUCAAGAGGCCCCACCCAGCCAGGUAAGGCCUUUGGUACCCCUUCUGCCCCCUACUCCCCCCUGAAAGCCCCCAGGCCCAUCUGGGGCCCUGAGCAGUUCUGGCCCAGCCCCACCCUGUCCAGGUUGCCCUCUCCCUGGGUCUGGUGAUGCCUGACUCUAUGCCCCUCCCCUGCAGCCCGGCAGGGCCCUUUGCCCUCCUCCUCCUGCCAAGUCAGGGGGCCCUGGCUGCUCCCCUGCCCCCUCCCCAGCCCUCAGAAGGCCUGGCAGGCCCUGAGGGCUCCCUGAGGGAUGGAUCACGCCCUCCCCCACCCCAGGCUGGGAUCCAGACCUUGGACAGAAAAGAGAUAGUCUUUAGGAACUCUUCCUCAGCAACCCACCUCCCCCCCGACCCCGUCACCCCUAGCUGCCCCCAGCUCCUAGCUGCCCCCAGCUCCGACCCCAGUCCCAAGAGAGGGGCGUGGAGCCCCAGCUGGGCGUCCUUAUCCAGCUCCUUCCCCUCUCUGAGCCCCAGUUUCCUUUCCUCAUCCUUCGCUUUAUGUAGCUUCCUCCAGAGUUCAUCUCAACAUUGCCCGAAAUGACGCCUGUGAAACCUCAGCCGGGCACCCCUCCCCGGACUGUUAGGAGGGAGGUUACAGAGCCUCGGAGGGGGGCUGUCCCUGAAGUCCCCAGGUUUCCCUUCCCUCACCUCCAACCUCCCCCACCCCCACCUGGGGGGAAGUCAGAGAUGGCUCAGACCUCCCCAGGCCACCAGCCCUACAAGUUAAUGAUCAUAGGCCUUAUCAGAGCCUUUCGCCAUUUAUAAAUUUAUAAAACAAAAGAGAAAUAAUAAAGCCCGUGGGUAAUUAGUAACCAGCUCAGCUCUGCUGAGGAGAGGGGAGCAGAGAGCUCAGACCCACCCCGUCCUCCAGGAGAUGGGGAGAGCCAGCUGGUGGGUUGGGGGUACGGAGCAGGGAGGCUUCUAGUGGUACCCGCUGGUGAUGGGGGCGCCUGAGGCUGUGCUGGAAAGGGGAGUAGCUCCCCUCCUGAGGCUCCAUUUCCUGCAGUGGUCACCUCUGAGACCAAGGGUGUUCUGGAAGGAGAAAGAGCUCAAGAAGCCCCCUGGUGGACAUUCCAGGGAAAAAAGGAGUUGGAAACGCUGCCUGUUAUGACUCUGAUUUUUUAAAAAAUAAAUUCCCUUUGUAAGGAGUUCAUCUGUGUCUGAACAUCCUAGGGUAUAAUGCAGGAGGCUAAGGUUCGAUCUUCCAUCUCCCGAUCUCUCCAGUUGGGGAACAAGAUCCCACAAGCCUCGCGGCACUGCCGGAAAAACAACAACAACCAGGAAACAGUAUAAAAUGUAGAUUCUUCGUCCCUACUGCCGGAGAUACUAAUCCAGUAAAUGGAGCCUAGCAUCCUUAUUUUUCAGUUUUGUAAAUGACUCUGUUGAUUUGGGUUGAAAACUAUUGCCCUACCCUGAAUGGGGGUUUUCAGGGAGCUGACCUCUUCCCAAUUCCAGUGGGCUUUAGGCUGGAAUCCAAAUCAUCCUGAAGAUGUUUGGGAAUGGGUGUGAAGUGGAUCGAGGAUACGGUUAUGUCAUUUGGUUGGUUUCAAAUUGUGACUCUGCCGUGAACUAGGUAUGUCACCUUGAACAAAUGGGUUCACUUUUUUCAAAGCCUCAAUUUAAUAAAGGGGGCUAAUUAUACUGACUGUAAGGGGACACCCUGAUUAAUAAAAGGGUUAAAGAAUGUAAGGGGUGGCAAUGGCCAAGUAGUUUCAUCAGAAUAUUUUUGUGUGUGUGGCCUCAGUUGUGUCUGACUCUUCGUGACCUCAUGGAUUGUAGCCUGCCAGGCUCCUCUGUUCAUGGAAUUUUCCAGGCACGAAUAACUGGAAUGUGUUGCCAUUUCCUCCUCCAGGGGAACUUCUGGACACUGGGAUCAAACCUGCAUCUCUUGCAUUUCCUGAAUUGGCAGGUGAAUUCUUUUACUGCUGCACCACCUGAAGAAUAAAAUGAGCAGUCUUGAGAGAAACAACAGAAUCCAGGGUCUGUACAAUAACCAGCACACAAAAAUCAAGUGCUAGACAUAGGAAGAAAUAGAAAACGGACUCAAUCUCAAAGAGAAAAAGUGAUGACCCAGAUGUUAGAGUUAGCAUCAAGAACUUUAAAGCAACUCAUAAAUAUUUUCAAACUCUGUGCGCCCCCCCCAAAUAUAGUCAUAAUGAAGGAACAGAUGAGGAACUUCAGCAGAGAACUGGAACUAUUAAAACAAAAUCAAA